GAUGAACGCUGGCGGCGUGCCUAAUACAUGCAAGUCGAGCGAACGGACGAGAAGCUUGCUUCUCUGAUGUUAGCGGCGGACGGGUGAGUAACACGUGGAUAACCUACCUAUAAGACUGGGAUAACUUCGGGAAACCGGAGCUAAUACCGGAUAAUAUUUUGAACCGCAUGGUUCAAAAGUGAAAGACGGUCUUGCUGUCACUUAUAGAUGGAUCCGCGCUGCAUUAGCUAGUUGGCAAGGUAACGGCUUACCAAGGCAACGAUGCAUAGCCGACCUGAGAGGGUGAUCGGCCACACUGGAACUGAGACACGGUCCAGACUCCUACGGGAGGCAGCAGUAGGGAAUCUUCCGCAAUGGGCGAAAGCCUGACGGAGCAACGCCGCGUGAGUGAUGAAGGUCUUCGGAUCGUAAAACUCUGUUAUUAGGGAAGAACAUAUGUGUAAGUAACUGUGCACAUCUUGACGGUACCUAAUCAGAAAGCCACGGCUAACUACGUA
rnacentral:rRNA from 1 species